rnacentral:misc_RNA from 1 species
AACUAUUAGUUGUUAAUUCAGAUUAGAUAAGAUAUAAAAUCUGCGUCGCUAUUCUAAAAAUAGAAUAUAUAAAUGUGUAUAUAGAUCAAUACUGUUUACUCAAACCAGUAGCGAACACCUGUGGAUUUAAAUCGAAAAUGCGAUAUUCAUGGGAAACCUAAUAAAUUGAUUAAAGUCAAUAACGAGGAAAUAAGAUAAAACAGGUGGAUAAAAGCAACAAUAUCUGGACUAUAGUAGAUACAAAAGGCGAAAGAGAUGACAUCUGAUAGAGACGAUGAAUGCUAUGAUGUUUUUAUUGUGCACAGUUCAGAGGAUAAUUCGGUAGCUGAACAAAUAGACCAGGGAUUAACAGAUAAAGGCCUUAAAACAUUUGCUCAUUACAAAGACGGAAUUUUUCAAGUCGGGCGGCGAGUAUUUGAUAAUGUUUUAUUCGCCAUAUCACGAUCCGAUAUCGUGCUUAUUUUAUUAACUCAGAACGCUUUGUCAUCACAUUGGGUAACGUUUGAAAUUUUGAUUGGACUUGAAAAGUCAUAUCGUGAAAAUGCAAUGUGUGUUCGUCUGGUGUUCCAAGGUGUUUCAGAGACAGAAAGGCUUGGUUUUAAAACAGGCACGCUUGAACUGAUACCUGAUAUUGUUGUAGACUUCAGCGAAGACUCGUGGAAGGGUAACCUGGUAUCGAAAAUAAAAGAAAAAGUGGCUAUGCGUGACAUACUACCUGCCGGGAAUGUCGCACACGGUCUUGUUUUUAGCUACUAUUUUGGUUACCUGGCUUAUGUUCUUCCAGCUACAAAGGAGGCGAUAAAAAAAAGUGAAUACUACUCGGAAGAAGCAAAUAUUUUUUCACAGAAAUUUGUUAUCAUCAUACCAGCUUCUUGUAAACCAAAGUCAAUAGAAGGUGACUAUGGUGACUUUCUGAUAGAGAAAAUGCCAAAACCUCUAGAAAUGGAGUUUACACAUGGAGAUAAAAAGAGAAAAUACAACCCAACAGUUUACAAAAUAACGAAAACACAGACGACAGAGUCAUUUUUCUUUUCGGCCGAUAUUCCUUUCAUAUUGGCAACCAUGUCAAAAAUGAAGGAAUUGGGAUUUGCGGACAUAGACCUCCGUUUUCAAGUGCCUCGAUUUCGGAUGACACUAAGGGAACUAGUAGACCAUCGCAAUAACCCAAAGUGUAAAAAUACCUCAGUCAUAAUACAAUUCGAAGAUAAAGAUGCCAAAACAUCACCCGCAAAAGACAUCUGGAAUGCUUUACAAGAUGAGUUCUCUGAUCAAAAAGAGAAAUCAACAUAUAACACAGAGGAAUAUGAAAGUGCCCAUUUAUCUUGGCUUUGCCGAUAAACGUAAAAAGAAAGUCUAGCAAGCAACACACUGUAAGACGGCACCGUUAUCGAAUGUUGUGAGCAGUGAAGGUGAACUGAAAGAUAGGGAUCAACAUGUUACCGCUAUAGUAACAUACUCAAGCGACGUGGAAGCGGAUAAAACUUUGGCCGAAGAAAUAAUGAAUUUUUU